AAGAAGUGCCAUCCUUCGUUUUCACCGGACCAGAACUUAGUCGUCAAUAGUGGGAAAUUCUAAGUAAAUCCUUGUUAAUUUUUGAUUAUCAAGAAUACUUUUAUAAUCACUUUGCAGUAUUUAUCUUAAACAAUGUUUCCUUAAAAUUUAAUAAAAAUAUAGCAAGAUUUGUAAACGUUGCAUCCGAUGUACUCUGAAGGCUUCGAAAAAUAUAGACAAAACAGAGCGGUGAUGUUUCGAAGGUACAAAAGACACGAUAUGGCUGUGAAAGAGGCUGCGUCAUAAACAACAAGAACAUAAGUUCAAUGUUCUAGAAGCGAUCUUCUAAACUCCAGCUGGCCGAUAGCGUAUCAAUAACGAUCGUCGUGGAUCGCAGUGGCAAUGGAUUCCAGGAUCAAGGACGCGGGGACAGGUUCCAACAACCUGCUAACCAUGAGGCGCAUCGUCAAGUGACACCAGUCACUGGUCAGUUCCAUAACUGUGCACCACUAGGAAGGCAUAAAGAAGCGUGGACAAAGUGUAGAGAGUGGGAUAACCGAGAGCGGAGGGUCCGACGACCCCCAGUAGGAUAUUCGAUGAACGCGCAACACCUGCGUUUUCGGAGAUGACCAUGAACACCCCAAAAACUCUGGGUGAAACUGACAGGACAAUAUACCACCCGCCACCGGCUGACCAUUGUCUGUCCAGGAAUGGUCUACGGAUGGUGUCGCAAUGUCACAUGCAGGGAAACACUGGAUACAGCAUUAUUAUUUGCAGGCGUGUAAUCCUAAUUCUGUUUUAACUGCCAGGGAGAUAGAUAGGCAGUAUCUGCUCGGUCAGAGCCCAGUUAUUUAUUACCUUUGUUUACACUGGUCCAUCCGCAAUUAACACAGAUCAGUCCCGUACCGGCUGGGACCGACCCUUCGAUGGGCGAACAACCUGUAACCUCCCGAUGAAACACGCGCUAACAACCUCUUCGUGGCUCUAUUGACUAAUUGAACAGCUGAGAGGCUGCGAGAAUUGUGUCCCAAACUUAAAUAUCUCUCGGACCUGUCUACAGGUUACUUUCAGUCGUCUCCUUGGACUAUUUAUUACCAACAACAGGAAAAAUCUCUGCUCGAUCAGUCACUCUGCGAGUUUAUGUGUUUGUACUGUGGAUCACCGUGUACGCCGUGUAGCUGAAUUAAUAGACGGACGAAAACGUUAGGACGACUGGAUUUCUGGGUAAUUGAACAAUCAGUUUUUUCUAAUGCUUAAUAUUAUUCGUUUAGAUUAAGACAACGAUCACUGUGAAUUUGUUUAAACAUUUUCAAAUCUGUGAUACAUUUUAGUAAUUGUAAAAGAAGCGUAAAAGACACGCAAAACAUUAACACUAAAACUACCGAGACAUAAACACGACUAAUGUGUAUUGUUUUAUAACUGGAUUUAUUUAAACUUCGCAUGAUUUAAAUCAUAACAUAUGCUUCAAUAAAGAAGUGUACCUAAACAUUUCUCCUGGAUAUAUUUGUAUAAUAUCAGGAACUGUAAAAGAAAAAGUUAAAAAUUAGUCAAUUUGACUGGUUUGAUAGUUCUAGUGUUACACUAUAACAAUGAGUCAAAUUGAUGAGAAGAUUUGUUUUAAUUCGAAAUAAAAUUUGAUUCUUCAAUCAUCAGAAUUUAGAAAGGAAAGCAAAGAAUGGUAUAAAAGAAUCAAAAGUUUAUAUUGUUCUAUUAACCAGUUAGCUAUUGCAAUAUUUUUGCAAAGUGUGCAAGUUACUGUAUUUGUUUGAUUGUCUUCAUGUUAAGGACUCUAGUGGAAUUGGUGGACUGUAUGGUAAAAAAGACGCUGGUGUAGUAAAACUAAAUAUAUUUUAACAAAAGAAUGAUGGAAUGUGAUGAUGUAUCGCGAAGCUGACGAAUGAUACGAUCAAGCGAUCGAUUUAUGGCUAUACAGCUGUAGCUAGGUUUGCAAGCGCAAUAGAAUUACCAAGCAUAAUUAUAAAAAGUUCAAUCGACAAAAGACUCGCCGCGAUCGAAUUAAACGGGUCUAUUUAUUAUCGUGGGCCAUCGAUUAGGAGAGGUAGAGGAGUGAGGAAUUUGAAAAUUGAAGGGACUAAGCAGCGCUGACAUUCGUGACAGUUGCAUAGGUUCAAUACACUAACGAACAGCGGUGUGUGGGAACCAAGGAAAUUUGGUAACGGAUUUGAUAUUGGGAUUGUUGGAAGGAUGGCCCAGUCGACACACACAUAUUGACGAUUGUAUACAAGCUGGAUCGUUCACCUCGGCCGGUGACGAGCUCGUUGAACAGCUGACAUUGGCACGGAGCACAAAAACAGACUCCGCGCUGGUGUUUUUGUUCACCGACCUAGGUGAUACCGGUAAAUGCGAUGCUAGUGCUCGAUUUUUAAUUUUAAUUUUAGACACUUCAUGUCUUGUUUAACUAUAAAAUGUAUUGAUAUAUUAUUAAAAUAUAUUAAUAUUUUAUUUAAAUAUAA